GCUUGCAUAUCAAAAAGCUGAGGAAAAGAAACCAACUGGGAUUACCUUAGUAACGGCGAGUGAAGCGGUAAAAGCUCAAAUUUGAAAUCUGGUACUUUCAGUGCCCGAGUUGUAAUUUGUAGAAUUUGUCUUUGAUUAGGUCCUUGUCUAUGUUCCUUGGAACAGGACGUCAUAGAGGGUGAGAAUCCCGUUUGGCGAGGAUACCUUUUCUCUGUAAGACUUUUUCGAAGAGUCGAGUUGUUUGGGAAUGCAGCUCAAAGUGGGUGGUAAAUUCCAUCUAAAGCUAAAUAUUGGCGAGAGACCGAUAGCGAACAAGUACAGUGAUGGAAAGAUGAAAAGAACUUUGAAAAGAGAGUGAAAAAGUACGUGAAAUUGUUGAAAGGGAAGGGCAUUUGAUCAGACAUGGUGUUUUUUGCAUGCACUCGCCUCUCGUGGGCUUGGGCCUCUCAAAAAUUUCACUGGGCCAACAUCAAUUCUGGCAGCAGGAUAAAUCAUUAAGAAUGUAGCUACUUCGGUAGUGUUAUAGCUUUUUGGAAUACUGUUAGCCGGGAUUGAGGACUGCGCUUCGGCAAGGAUGUUGGCAUAAUGGUUAAAUGCCGCCCGUCUGACCC
rnacentral:rRNA from 1 species